rnacentral:rRNA from 1 species
UACGAAGGGUGCAAACGUUGCUCGGAAUUAUUGGGUGUAAAGCGCACGUAGGCGGCUUUGCAAGUCGGAUGUGAAAUCCCUCGGCUUAACCAAGGAAGUGCAUCCGAAACUGCAGAGCUUGAGUACUUAAGAGGAUCGCGGAAUUCCCGGUGUAGAGGUGAAAUUCGUAGAUAUCGGGAGGAACACCAGUGGCGAAGGCGGCGAUCUGGGAAGAUACUGACGCUGAGGUGCGAAAGCGUGGGGAGCAAACAGG